UACGAAGGGGGCUAGCGUUGUUCGGAAUUACUGGGCGUAAAGCGCGCGCAGGCGGCUAUCCAAGUCAGUGGUGAAAGCCCGGAGCUCAACUCCGGAACUGCCAUUGAAACUGUUUAGCUUGAGGAUGAGAGAGGUGAGUGGAAUUCCCAGUGUAGAGGUGAAAUUCGUAGAUAUUCGGAAGAACACCAGUGGCGAAGGCGACUUACUGGAUCAUGACUGACGCUGAGGCUCGAAAGCGUGGGGAGCAAACAGG
rnacentral:rRNA from 1 species